rnacentral:misc_RNA from 1 species
UUUCCGUAGGUGAACCUGCGGAAGGAUCAUUCAUAAUAAGUGUUUUAUGGCACUUUUUUAAAUCCAUAUCCACCUUGUGUGCAAUGUCAGGGUUGAUUUUUCUCUCGAGAGGAUCAACCCCAAACAUCAACUAUCUCUCAACUCUUUGUCUGAAAAAUAUUAUGAAUAAAACAAUUCAAAAUACAACUUUCAACAACGGAUCUCUUGGCUCUC